rnacentral:tRNA from 1 species
GGAUCGGUGGCCGAGUGGUUUAAGGCUCUGGUCUUGAAAACCAGCGUAGCGGCGACUCUACCGUGGGUUCGAAUCCCACCCCAUCCGCCA